UUAUCGGAAUGAGAACAAUUCAAAUCCUUUAACGAGGAUCUAGCGGAGGGCAAGUCUGGUGCCAGCAGCCGCGGUAAUUCCAGCUCCGCAGGUGUAUAUCUAUGCUGCUGCGGUUAAAAAGCUCGUAGUUGGAUCUGCGUGCUCGGAACUGGUUGGCUCACUGAGUUCAAACUGGUCUCCGGCGCUUUAUUGGCUGGUUUUCCCUUGAUGCUCUUAACCGGGUGUCUUGGGUGGCUAGCACGUUUACUUUGAAAAAAUUAGAGUGCUCAAUACAGGCGUAAAGCCUUGAAUAGUGGUGCAUGGAAUAAUAGAAUAGGACCUCGGCUCUAUUUUGUUGGUUUUCGGAACGCGAGGUAAUGAUUAAGAGGGACAGACUGGGGCAUUCGUAUUGCGACGUUAGAGGUGAAAUUCUUGGAUCGUCGCAAGACGGACGACUGCGAAAGCAUUUGCCAAGAAUGUUUUUCAUUAAUCAAGAACGAAAGUUAGAGGUUCGAAGGCGAUCAGAUACCGCCCUAGUUCUAACCGUAAACGAUGCCAACUAGCGAUUCGCAGGCGUUAAACAACGACCUUGCGGGCAGCUUCCCGGAAACGAAAGUGUUCGGGUUCCGGGGGAAGUAUGGUUGCAAAGCUGAAACUUAAAGGAAUUGACGGAAGGGCACCACCAGGAGUGGAGCCUGCGGCUUAAUUUGACACAACACGGGAAAACUCACCCGGCCCGGACACCGUAAGGAUUGACAGAUUGAGAGCUCUUUCUUGAUUCGGUGGGUGGUGGUGCAUGGCCGUUCUUAGUUGGUGGAGCGAUUUGUCUGGUUUAUUCCGAUAACGAACGAGACUCUGGCCUACUAAAUAGUGGGCGGAUUCUUUCUGUCCGCAACACUUCUUAGAGGGACAAGCGGUGUUCAGCCGCACGAGAUUGAGCAAUAACAGGUCUGUGAUGCCCUUAGAUGUCCGGGGCUGCACGCGCGCUACACUGAAGGAAUCAGCGUGCUUUCUGACCUUGCCCGAAAGGGCUGGGUAACCCGAUGAAAAUCCUUCGUGAUUGGGAUAGGGACUUGCAAUUAUUUCCCUUGAACGAGGAAUUCCCAGUAAGUGUGGGUCAUAAGCUCGCGUUGAUUACGUCCCUGCCCUUUGUACACACCGCCCGUCGCUGCCCGGAACUGAGCCGUUUCGAGAAGAACAGGGACCGUCGUUGAAGGGCCUUAACGGGCUUUUCUCUGAUAGAAACUGUU
rnacentral:rRNA from 1 species